AAUCGUCAAAAUAUUGGUUUGUGAAGUUGGCGUCCCAAGAGUUCUCUGGACUUCCCCGAAGCUGAUUUGAGUUAUCCGAAUUUCAAUGCACUUUUAUGACGAUAUCCGAACUUCUUUAAAACCCUCUGAGGUUCCCCUAAACUUCGGUUGCUCGUCUCGAAAGAGUCUGUACACAUUUCCCUUAACUCAUCUGAGAUUUCCUGGGUCUUUCCGAUUAUCCAUCAACUACACUGAAGUUUUGUUAGCUCUUCUCAAUUUCUCUGAAUACCUCAGAAAGUUCUCUCAAGGACCUUGAGUAUCUCCAAAGAUUUCCUGAACUUCUCCAAAGUUUCUCUUAGCUUACCUUAG